GAUAGUGAACCAGUACCGUGAGGAAAGGGACGAAAAGAACCCCGGGAGGGGAGUGAAAUAGAUCCUAGAAACCGCAUGCUUAACAAAAGUCGGAGCCGCAAGGGUGACGGCGUACCUUUUGUAUAAUGGGUCAGCGACUUACAUUCAGUGGCAAGGUUAACCGAAUAGGGAAGCCGUAGAGAAAUCGAGUCCGAACAGGGCGUUCAGUCGCUGGGUGUAGACCCGAAACCAAGUGAUCUAUCCAUGGCCAGGAUGAAGGUGCCGUAACAGGUACUGGAGGUCCGAACCGACUAGUGUUGCAAAACUAGCGGAUGAGCUGUGGAUAGGGGUGAAAGGCUAAACAAACUUGGAAAUAGCUGGUUCUCUCCGAAAACUAUUUAGGUAGUGCCUCAAGUAUUACCUUCGGGGGUAGAGCACUGUUUUGGCUAGGGGGU
rnacentral:rRNA from 1 species